rnacentral:rRNA from 1 species
UACAGAGGUCUCAAGCGUUGUUCGGAUUCAUUGGGCGUAAAGGGUGCGUAGGCGGCGCGGUAAGUCGGGUGUGAAAUCUCGGGGCUUAACUCCGAAACUGCAUUCGAUACUGCCGUGCUUGAGGACUGGAGAGGAGACUGGAAUUUACGGUGUAGCGGUGAAAUGCGUAGAGCUCGUGAGGAAGACCGGUGGCGAAGGCGGAUCUCUGGACGGCCCCUGACGCUGAGGCGCGAAGGCUAGGGGAGCAAACGGG